UACGAAGGGAGCUAGCGUUGUUCGGAAUCACUGGGCGUAAAGCGUGUGUAGGCGGCCAUGUAAGUCGGAUGUGAAAGCCCCGGGCUUAACCCGGGAAGUGCAUUCGAUACUGCGUGGCUUGAGUAUCGGAGAGGUUGGUGGAAUUCUCGGUGUAGAGGUGAAAUUCGUAGAUAUCGAGAGGAACACCGGUGGCGAAGGCGGCCAACUGGACGAAUACUGACGCUGAGACACGAAAGCGUGGGGAGCAAACAGG
rnacentral:rRNA from 1 species